rnacentral:misc_RNA from 1 species
CGCACAUUGCGCCCGCCAGUACUCUGGCGGGCAUGCCUGUUCGAGCGUCAUUUCAACCCUCAGGCCCCGCGGCUUCGCGGGGCUUGGUGCUGGGGAUCGGGCCGCGCAACCCCGCGCGGGCCGUCCCUCAAAUACAGUGGCGGUCUCUUCGUAGCAUCCCCUGCGCAGUAGCACAAACUCGCUCCGGAUCGCCGCAGAGGCCACGCCGUAAAACCCCCCAACCUUCGAAAGUUGACCUCGGAUCAGGUAGGAAUACCCGCUGAACUUAA